ACUGAGAUUUCUAUGCUUUCCGUCGUUGUCUUUGAGCCCUUUCGAUCACUUCAAAUACUCUACAUUAAAUCUAACAGAGUUGAUUAUCGAGUCGAAAGCCUCGGCAUCAAAAACGACUUGAUAGCAUAGAUAUCAUCAUUCUUUUAAAAACACAUAAGCUGAAGUCUAUAUGAGUAGGUCUUGUGUGACAUUAGGAGUACGGAGGUUUCCGUGCUCCUAAGCCGUUUUCGAUGAUGAAGUUUUCGAAUUGACGAUCGGUUCCAUUAGAAUUUAUCUACUAUAUUUGAAAUAUCUAAAAAAUAAAUUUUGCGAUUUUUCGAUAUCAUUUAUCUAGCGAUCGAAAGGGAUUAGAAUCAAUAAUUUUUAAUGGUUGAUAUAUAUCGUUUGCAAAAUUAAUGGUAUAGAAGUAUUCAAAUCAAAUAAAAUUUUGAUAAAAAAUUUUUAUACUAUUCACUGCAAGAUCAAUAUUUUUGAUUGAAAAUUUUAGUACUAUAUAACUACAUGCACUUUUUGUGAGAUUUUUAUUUUCAGGUGUUGAUUUUGAACUCUUUCGAUCGCUAAGUAAAUAAUAUCAAAAAAUGACAAAAUUUAUUUUCUAGAUACUUCAAAUACGCUAGUUCAAGUCUAACGAAACCGAUUAUCGAUUCGGAAGCUUUAUUAUCGAAAACAGUUUAAUAGUACGAGACUUCCGUGCUCCUAAUAGUAUACCAGAUCUAUUAACUCUAUAUAUACCUUCUUCCCUUUCUUUUUUUUUUUUUUUUUUUUU
rnacentral:lncRNA from 1 species